UCUCAUUGCCUCUUUCGUGUUGUUUUUGUUGUUGCAGCAUCUGUCAUGCUUCCAGUUGUUAACAGCUGCAACAAAUCACCUCCAGCAUGUGGAGAAAGGCUGAUGGAUGGACAACCACAAACAUGAGAAAGUGAGUCCUUCAUGAGUGGUAAGGUUGACAAUGAUGCAUCUGAGAAAUAUAAGACUGUAUCUGUGAAAUUUUGCUUAAAAAAAACCUCUGUUUUUUUUUUAUGGAUUAAUGUAAAAUGCUCCUCACUCUUCUGUUAAAAUAAAGUGCAACUUUGUUAA